UGUGAGGGGGGAGAGAUAAAAGGAAAAGGAAGGGGCACACGCUCUAUCUUGGGGCUACGAUCAUGGUCAGAGACCAACAGAAGGAGCAUGCUCAGUUCUUGGCUUCUCACGUUUGAUGGAGUAUCAUGCAACAGAGUUCUCUGUAAUGAUCUGAGCCACAGAGAGGCACAAACAACAGAGAUUACUUGCCUCAAGUGUUCCAAGAGGACACUGAAUCAUUUAGAAACACACGAGAAGCCUCAGUGGCACAGAUUCCCAGCACUCCAGCCAUCUGGAUUUGAACUGCUGCUAUGGAACCCUGACUUUAAGUUCACAGAGCCCACGGGAGGACUACCAAGGUGUGAUCUUGCUGUCUAUUCAUAAGGAGUUUACUGUGUGGAGGGUAAAAAUCACUCAUCUCCCAGUGGAGGAUCAAAGCUAGCCCUUCUCGUCAUGCAAUCAGAAUGGCUUGGAGAGAAGAGAUGUGAGAUGACAGACUGGAGACAGUUCAUAGGAGACCUGGACUUUCAACUUUUGAUGUUAUGAUCUUGUGAAAGUGGCACAAAGGCUGCACAAAAAAAACCCCGGUUUUAAUUUUUCCUUUGCCUAGAUAGAUGCUGAGCAGUGCCAGAAGCUAUAGCUCCCAGCAAAUCAUGUCAUAUGAAUGGUCUCCACAGCAUAUGCCCAUCUUUGAAGUGAGGGGGAUUAGUGUACUGACUGCUCUUUCCACUUAACUUUUCAAGUUAAGAUGGGUUUAUGAGAGCAUAAUCCCAGCUAAACUGAAGGGCAUCUGGACAUGUCCUUGGGUUUAAAGACAUCAGUUGAGCCAUUAUAAAAUGCAUAAGGCAAGUGUGGAGACAACCAGUUAUACAAGUAUGGAGCAGAAUUUGGAGCCACACAUCCAGGCUUUCUUUUCAAAGUCUGGGAGCCUCCCAAAGGGUCAAGCUCCCACCCCCCUCCACUGUUUGUGUCCAUGUGACAGAGUACAGCCACUGCCCAACUGGCUGGAAAAUUGGGCUUUGCCUAGUUCACAGAUGAUGAGCCCACUGGUGACCUGUGUCCUUGCGUAGUUUGUAUCGUAUUUGCACAUCUAGUGUCGUCAGUGACCUGAUAUGGAACAGCGAACUGCAAGCAUGGACAGCGCAAGGACUGCAUCUGAAGUCUGGACUGGCCUCUGCACUCUGCACUCAGGGUUCAUUUUGUGUUGUCUCCAUUCUGGGAACCGGCCAGAGGUAGACAAAUUGGUGUUGCAUCAGGGCCUAGACAUAUGGUUCAGUGGUUAAGGGCACUUUAAGAGGGCCUGGACUUGGUUGUAAGCACUCACAUGCCUGAUGCUGUAAUGAUAAAUGGCACACUUACUCACAAGAUACCAAACAAGUAACCCAGAUGAGCCCAGAAGUUUUCCGCUGCUGAACUGGAAGCCAAAUCUGGAAAAAAAAGACCAAGACUUCCGCUGUUCAAUCUUUUAUGCCUUCUCCCGUAACGCCCCCCUAACCAUGCCCAAAAGUAG